UUUGUCAUAAAUCACUUACCCCCAUGUCGUUCCAAACCCGUAAAAGCUUCAUUCAUCUUCGGAACACAAUUUAAGAUAUUUUGGACGAAAACCUGGAGGCUUGAGACUGCCAAAUAAAUAACAGUGUCAAGGUCCAUAAAAGGUAUGAAAGUUGUCAUCAGAAUACUCCAUCUGCCAUCAGACGUGCAAUCUGGGUUAUAUGAAGUGACAGGAACACAAUUUGUAAGCAAAGAAAACAAAAAUAACGACUUUAUUCAAUAAUUCCUCUUUUAACUGUCUCCUCUGUGUCUGUCCAUAUCACCCUAUGCUGUGUAUGUUCUUCUGUAUCAUCUGUGCCACAAGGAUGCGCUUAUUUAUUUCAAAUCAAAGCUAAAUAAGCAUAGAAAUAGUGUGAAUCUCUUGCGCUUUCAUAUGGAGAGUGUCUGAUGAGCAUUUAACUUGCUGAGCGGGUUUAGGCAAAGUGUCUGUUUUAGGACAAUUGCCUUGUUUUGUUUGGCUUUUGCAAUUUUUUCAAUGGCAUACAUAGUAUUACAUACAAUAUAAUAUGGUUUUGUUUUGUUUUUUCUCAGGAGAGAUGAGGCACCUCUGAUUUGGAAUGUUCUCCUGGGAAAACACCAAGUAGAGCACAUCCUUCCCUCUCAGCCCUCACUUUUGGUCUCUGUCUCUUCAUCUCUCCCUGCCUCCUCUCCUUCCUCUCUUCCUCCAUCAUUCUCCUCCUCUCUACCUUCCUCUUUUCUUCCCUUCUUGGCCCCCACACGUUCAAACACAUCAUUAAUAACCUCAUCGUCCAGUGUUCCCCAUUCCAGCACUUCCUCUCUCCCUCCCUCUUUUUCUUCCACAUUACCCUCGCCCUCAUCUGGCUCUCUUCAGCCUCCUUUAUCAUUCCCUCUCCCCUCCACUCCUCUCUUGUCUCUUCAUUCUAAAUCUGCCAGCAGAGACAGCAGCAGUCAAACAGGACUUAGUCCAAAGACAUUUAGUGCUGCAUCCUCCAAAAUACAAGAAAAUACAGAAUCUCCAUCCAGCCAGGCUAAAGGCCAAGAAGUUCGAGGACAGAAGAUGCCCCUACCUGACCUAGAUCUGGUGGAGAUCCUUAUCUGAAAGAACAAUCCUGGAAGUAGCAUUCUUACAGAUAGAACAGUGCUUAAGAAAGAGUGAGGGAGUGAAAAACAAAAUAUGAGUAAUGGAUCACAUACAACAGACAGACAGAAAGGAGAGAUUACAGAAAGGAACGAAGGAAUGCAGUGCAAAGUAAAAGCUAGAAUUCAGUAUUGUGCCUCCAAAAUACUGAAUUGGAUAAUUGAUUCUAAUUUUAUUUCUGUCCAUUUUGGACCCUGAAACAAACAAUGACUAUGAUAUUUGAUGUACUUAUUGCAUGUAUAAUGUCUUAAAUUGCAUUAUGUCAGAUUAUCAGCUGCCUCAUAAGUGCGUUCCACAAAGCUGUAUACAAAUUAGUUAAUAUUUGUGUGAAUCUACAAGAAAAAAAGAAAAAAAAAAGAAAAAAAAAUGUUGUUCUGAAUUGUUAUAUGUAGACCUAAAUUAUUGAAUGCUGUUUAACUUUGUUGGUCUUAUGGCAAACUUGCUGUAAAUAAACUUGUUAAUUAAUUUUAC
ensembl:lncRNA